rnacentral:rRNA from 1 species
GUCCAGCGGCAGCGGAAAGUAGCUUGCUACUUUGCCGGCGAGCGGCGGACGGGUGAGUAAUGUCUGGGAAACUGCCUGAUGGAGGGGGAUAACUACUGGAAACGGUAGCUAAUACCGCAUAACGUCGCAAGACCAAAGAGGGGGACCUUCGGGCCUCUUGCCAUCAGAUGUGCCCAGAUGGGAUUAGCUAGUAGGUGGGGUAACGGCUCACCUAGGCGACGAUCCCUAGCUGGUCUGAGAGGAUGACCAGCCACACUGGAACUGAGACACGGUCCAGACUCCUACGGGAGGCAGCAGUGGGGAAUAUUGCACAAUGGGCGGAAGCCUGAUGCAGCCAUGCCGCGUGUAUGAAGAAGGCCUUCGGGUUGUAAAGUACUUUCAGCGGAGAGGAGGGUGGGUGA